UUGGAGGGCAAGUCUGGUGCCAGCAGCCGCGGUAAUUCCAGCUCCAAUAGCGUAUAUUAAAGUUGUUGCAGUUAAAAAGCUCGUAGUUGAACUUCGGGAUUUACCCAUUGGUCAGGCUUAAUUGUCUGUACUGGUGAGAUGAAUCUCUACCUUCUGAGGAACUCUCAUGCCAUUUAUUUGGUGUGAUUGGAAAUCAGGACUAUUACUUUGAAAAAAUUAGAGUGUUUAAAGCAGGCUAACGUCUGAAUAUAUUAGCAUGGAAUAAUGAAAUAGGACGGCUUGGUUCUAUUUCGUUGGUUUCUAGGAUCACCGUAAUGAUUAAUAGGGAUAGUUGGGGGCAUUAGCAUUCAAUUGUCAGAGGUGAAAUUCUUGGAUUUAUUGAAGACUAACUACUGCGAAAGCAUUUGCCAAGGAUGUUUUCAUUAAUCAAGAACGAAAGUUAGGGGAUCGAAGACGAUCAGAUACCGUCGUAGUCUUAACCAUAAACUAUGCCGACUAGGGAUCGGACGAAGUUAAUUUUAUAAUGACGCGUUCGGCACCUUACGGGAAACCAAAGUGUUUGGGUUC
rnacentral:rRNA from 1 species